rnacentral:siRNA from 1 species
AUCGCGUUCGGUUCGGGUAAUACC